GAUGAACGCUGGCGGCGUGCUUAAUACAUGCAAGUCGAACGGAGACAGUAGCAAUAUUGUCUUAGUGGCGAACGGGUGAGUAACGCGUUGGUGACCUGCCCCGAAGAGGGGGAUAACAGUCCGAAAGGAUUGCUAAUACCCAAUGUUGUCAUUUGGAUUAGAUGCCUUAUGACUAAACGGAUUUAUUCGCUUCGGGAGGGGCCUGCGUCCCAACAGCUAGUUGGUAAGGUAAUGGCUUACCAAGGCGAUGACGGGUAGGGGACCUGAGAGGGUGGCCCCCCACAAUGGAACUGAAACACGGUCCAUACACCUACGGGUGGCAGCAGUAGGGAAUAUUGGUAAUGGGCGAAAGCCCGAACCAGCAACGCCGCGUGCGCGAUGAAGGCCUUCGGGUUGUAAAGCGCUUUUUAAGGGGAUGAGGAAGGACAGUACUCUUAGAAUAAGCCUCGGCUAACUACGUGCCAGCAGCCGCUGUAACAC
rnacentral:rRNA from 1 species